UACGGAGGGUGCAAGCGUCAUCCGGAUUCACUGGGUUUAAAGGGUGCGUAGGAGGACUGGUAAGUCAGUGGUGAAAUCCCCGAGCUUAACUUGGGAACUGCCGUUGAUACUAUCAGUCUUGAAUACCGUGGAGGUGAGCGGAAUAUGUCAUGUAGCGGUGAAAUGCUUAGAUAUGACAUAGAACACCAAUUGCGAAGGCAGCUCGCUACACGAAUAUUGACUCUGAGGCACGAAAGCGUGGGGAUCAAACAGG
rnacentral:rRNA from 1 species